CAGUAGCCGCGGGAAUACGAAGGGGGCUAGCGUUGUUCGGAAUUACUGGGCGUAAAGGGCGCGUAGGCGGCCAUUCAAGUUAGAUGUGAAAGCCCUGGGCUCAACCUAGGAAUUGCAUUUGAUACUGUUUGGCUUGAGUUCGGGAGAGGUGAGUGGAAUUCCCAGUGUAGAGGUGAAAUUCGUAGAGAUCGGGAGGAACAUCAGUGGCGAAGGCGGCCAUCUGGGACAACACUGACGCUGAGGCACGAAAGCGUGGGGAGCAAACAGGAUUAGAGACCCCCGUAGUCCCUGUCUCUUAUAC
rnacentral:rRNA from 1 species